UGAACGCUGGCGGCGUGCCUAAUACAUGCAAAUCGAGCGAACAGACGAGGAGCUUGCUCCUCUGACGUUAGCGGCGGACGGGUGAGUAACACGUGGAUAACCUACCUAUAAGACUGGGAUAACUUCGGGAAACCGGAGCUAAUACCGGAUAAUAUAUUGAACCGCAUGGUUCAAUAGUGAAAGACGGUUUUGCUGUCACUUAUAGAUGGAUCCGCGCCGCAUUAGCUAGUUGGUAAGGUAACGGCUUACCAAGGCAACGAUGCGUAGCCGACCUGAGAGGGUGGUUCGCCAACAUGGAAAUGGGAACAGGGCCAAAACCCCAAGGGAGGGAGGCGUAGGGAAUUCUUCGGCAAGGGGGGAAGGCCGAACGGGGCAAGCCGGCGGGGGGAAGAAGGGUCUCCGAUUCUAAAACUCUGUUAUUAGGGAAGAACAAAUGUGUAAGUAACUAUGCACGUCUUGACGGUACCUAAUCAGAAAGCCACGGCUAACUACGUG
rnacentral:rRNA from 1 species